GAUGAAGAACGUAGCGAAAUGCGAUAAGUAAUGUGAAUUGCAGAAUUCAGUGAAUCAUCGAAUCUUUGAACGCACAUUGCGCCCUCUGGUAUUCCGGGGGGCAUGCCUGUUCGAGCGUCAUUAUAACCACUCAAGCUCUCGCUUGGUAUUGGGGUUCGCGGUUUCGCGGCCCCUAAAAUCAGUGGCGGUGCCUGUCGGCUCUACGCGUAGUAAUACUUCUCGCGAUUGAGUUCGAUAGGUCUACUUGCCAGUAACCCCCAAUUUUUACAGGUUGACCUCGGAUCAGGUAGGGAUACCCGCUGAACUUACGCAUAUCAAUAAGCGGAGGA
rnacentral:misc_RNA from 1 species